rnacentral:rRNA from 1 species
UACAGAGGGUGCAAGCGUUGUUCGGAUUUACUGGGCGUAAAGGGCGCGUAGGCGGCGUGUUAAGUCAGCUGUGAAAUCUCCGAGCUUAACUCGGAACGGUCAGCUGAUACUGAUGUGCUAGAGUGCAGAAGGGGCAAUCGGAAUUCUUGGUGUAGCGGUGAAAUGCGUAGAUAUCAGGAAGAACACCCGUGGCUAAGGCGGCUCUCUAGUACGGUACUGACGCUGAGACGCGAAAGCGUGGGGAGCGAACAGG